rnacentral:rRNA from 1 species
UACGGAGGGGGCUAGCGUUGUUCGGAAUUACUGGGCGUAAAGCGCACGUAGGCGGCUUUGUAAGUUAGAGGUGAAAGCCCGGGGCUUAACCCCGGAAUAGCCUUUAAGACUGCAUCGCUUGAACACGGGAGAGGUGAGUGGAAUUCCGAGUGUAGAGGUGAAAUUCGUAGAUAUUCGGAAGAACACCAGUGGCGAAGGCGGCUCACUGGACCGUUGUUGACGCUGAGGUCCGAAAGCGUGGGGAGCAAACAGG